rnacentral:sRNA from 1 species
UUGCUUCGUGCUUGUCGUCGAUGUUUGC